rnacentral:sRNA from 1 species
GCCAGAGGCAUGGUGCAUGCCUCUAAUCCCAGCUACUUGGGAGGCUGAAGAAGAAGGAUCAGAUGGGAGGAUCGCUUGAGCCCAGGAGUUUGGGUCCAGCCUGGGCAACAUAGCAAGAUCCUGUGU